UCGACAUUUCAGCCACAAUACAUGGCUUUCAUCAGGAUCUUUACAGCUCAAAGAAGCUGUAAAGAUCCUGAUGAAAGCCAUGUAUUGUGGCUGAAAUGU